rnacentral:rRNA from 1 species
GAACGUGCCCUUCGGUUCGGAAUAACUCAGGGAAACUUGAGCUAAUACCGGAUACGCCCUUUUGGGGAAAGGUUUACUGCCGAAGGAUCGGCCCGCGUCUGAUUAGCUAGUUGGUGGGGUAACGGCCUACCAAGGCGACGAUCAGUAGCUGGUCUGAGAGGAUGAUCAGCCACACUGGGACUGAGACACGGCCCAGACUCCUACGGGAGGCAGCAGUGGGGAAUAUUGGACAAUGGGCGCAAGCCUGAUCCAGCCAUGCCGCGUGAGUGAUGAAGGCCUUAGGGUUGUAAAGCUCUUUUGUCCGGGACGAUAAUGACGGUCCCGGAAGAAUAAGCCCCGGCUAACUUCGUGCCAGCAGCCGCGGUAAUACGAAGGGGGCUAGCGUUGCUCGGAAUCACUGGGCGUAAAGGGCGCGUAGGCGGCUUUUUAAGUCGGGGGUGAAAGCCUGUGGCUCAACCACAGAAUUGCCUUCGAUACUGGAAGGCUUGAGACCGGAAGAGGACAGCGGAACUGCGAGUGUAGAGGUGAAAUUCGUAGAUAUUCGCAAGAACACCAGUGGCGAAAGCGGCUGUCUGGUCCGGUUCUGACGCUGAGGCGCGAAAGCGUGGGGAGCAAACAGGAUUAGAUACCCUGCUAGUCCACGCCGUACACGAUGAAUGCCAGCCGUUGGUCUGCUUGCAGGUCAGUGGCGCCGCUCACGCAUUAAGCAUUCCGCCUGGGGAGUACGGUCGCAAGAUUAAAACUCAAGGAAUUGACGGGGGCCCG